rnacentral:rRNA from 1 species
GGCUAAUGCCGGAUAACAUGUUGAACCGCAUGGUUCUACAGUGAAAGGCGGCUUUGCUGUCACUUAUAGAUGGACCCGCGCCGUAUUAGCUAGUUGGUGAGGUAACGGCUCACCAAGGCAACGAUACGUAGCCGACCUGAGAGGGUGAUCGGCCACACUGGAACUGAGACACGGUCCAG